rnacentral:rRNA from 1 species
CCCUUAGAUGUUCUGGGCAGCACGCGCGCUACAAUGGUCUUCGCAAACGGAUGCAUUCUCGAAGGAGAAUGCCAAUCUUGGAAUCUAUGCCGUGGUCGGGACAGUUGCUUGCAAUUUUUCGACUCGAACCAGGAAUUCCUUGUAAUCGUGAUUCAUCACAUCACGAUGAAUACGUCCCUGCCCUUUGUACACACCGCCCGUCGCUCCUACCGAUCGAAGAGUUAGGUGAAUUGUUUUGAUCGAUAAGAUUUGACUAUGGUCAACUCUCGUUGUGAAAUUCUGUGAAUCUGACUGUUUAGAGGAAGGAAAAGUCGUAACA